GUCCUACGGGAGGCAGCAGUGAGGAAUAUUGGCCAAUGGCCGGAAGGCUGAACCAGCCAAGCCGCGUGAAGGACGAAGGCGCCAAGCAUUGUAAACUUCUUUUGUCAAGGGACAAAAUCAGGCCCGAGAGCCUGACCGAGGGUACUUGAAGAAAAAGCAUCGGCUAACUCCGUGCCAGCAGCCGCGGUAAUACGGAGGAUGCGAGCGUUAUCCGGAUUUAUUGGGUUUAAAGGGUGCGUAGGCGGAUUGUUAAGUCAGCGGUAAAAGCCCGGGGCCCAACCCCGGCCAGCCGUUGAAAUUGGCUG
rnacentral:rRNA from 1 species